GAUGAACGCUAGCGGCAGGCCUAACACAUGCAAGUCGAGGGGCAGCACAGAAACAGCAAUGUUUUGGUGGCGACCGGCGGACGGGUGCGUAACGCGUAUGCAACCUACCUUUAACAGGGGGAUAACGGAGAGAAAUUUCCACUAAUACCCCAUAACAUCGAUCAAGGCAUCUUGAUUGGUUGAAAACUCCGGUGGUUAAAGAUGGGCAUGCGUUGUAUUAGGUAGUUGGUGAGGUAAUGGCUCACCAAGCCUACGAUACAUAGGGGGACUGAGAGGUUAGCCCCCCACACUGGUACUGAGACACGGACCAGACUCCUACGGGAGGCAGCAGUGAGUAAUAUUGGUCAAUGGGGGCAACCCUGAACCAGCCAUGCCGCGUGCAGGAAGACGGCUCUAUGAGUUGUAAACUGCUUUUAAACAGGGAUAAAGCACAGUAUGUAUACUGUGUUGAAGGUACUGUAAGAAUAAGGAUCGGCUAACUCCGUGCCAGCAGCCACAGUAA
rnacentral:rRNA from 1 species